CUCAUGAGUUCUUAGAUUUGGCAAGGCCUAAGAGAGAAGGGGAGUUGACUUGCACUGUGAGCCAGGACUCCUAUCCCUCCCACUACAUGGAAGAGACAAGGAUGGCAUUGCAGGUGCCGGAACCAGCAAGAAGGCAGGCCCAGGGAAGCAUGAGGAUGUUCCAGGACUGGUGAUGGUCUAAUAUGGCUAGAGGAAAAAGUGGGGGGUAGCAAGAUGGAUGUCGAGGGGACCUUGGUAGUCAGAGGAUCUGAGGACCUCUCUGUGGGGUACUUUGUGUGUGGAGAAGGUAGGACUGGCCAUUGCUGGAAGUAUGCAUCUUGGGGGCAAUGCACAUGUCCCUGUUUCACAGGCCAUGUGACCAGCACUGAGGGAACUGGCAUGGACGCCGGUAGCAGAGCUGCAGCAUGGCAGACGCUCAGGAAGCUCCUAUGGGGAGUAGACGUCAUGGCAGGAUACCCCUUGGACUGUGCCCCCGCUUUCCGUUCUUAA
rnacentral:lncRNA from 1 species